rnacentral:tRNA from 1 species
GGGGUGUAGCCAAAUGGGAAGGCGAUGGGCUUUGAUCCCAUUAUUGAGUGAGUUCGAUUCUCACCACCCCUU